CUGCAGACAGGAAGGACGAGAUAUGAAUUUAUCCUCAUGAAAUCCCAUCCUGCUAUUGUUCUUGUGUUUCUGACGACACAUUACAGCAGCAGCACGAGGAUCAGUGUUUAAUGUUGUUAACUUUCUGAUCACAACACAAUGACAAACGGUCCCGAGGAGGCGGACUGACGCACACGAGAGCAGCAGCGAGUUAUCAGCGGCGUUCAGUGCCGUUAUCUGCAGAAGAACACAGCUGCUCUUACAGAUACAGAAAUAACCGCACAAACUCCAGAAACACUUCUGAGCCCUUCCUGCGCUGGAAACCACCAAAACAAACUGCCAAGCCUCUACAGACCAGAAUCAGCUGAUCCAAGAGCGACCCUCGAAGACGAGCUCUCACAGCACUGAACCAGAAAAACCCGGACUCACCUCCAGCGAGUGCAUCCUGCGAUUCAGGCAGACUCUCACAGACUCACUGCAGCUGAACCGAGCGACGGAGGAGGUCUGUGACACUGAACCACACACAUGUGUGAAGCUGGAAACAUUCAGCGGUCGGAGAGUCGAGAACAAGAGCUUCACAACAAACGCAAGAGUUCAAACAGACGAGAAACAGGCCGCACGUGUGAAGGAUUCAAAGCGAAACAGAAAUAGGAUUUUCCUCACUUUAUACAAUACGAAUUCGUGUCUACGCAUCUUCACGGAGAUAAACCGGAAAACAGCAGAAUCAAUGAUGGAAUGGAGAUUCUGCUUUGACACUAUCUGUCCUGUAAAAAUCAUUGUAGACAUGAAGGUGAUGAUAAAUGAAUUUCAGGAGCAGACAUUAUUUGUCACUUUGCAGGACCAUUAAAUAACAGCCUUUAACGAAAAUGCAGCACCUGAAAUUCACACGCUUUAUUCCUCGAUGAUGGAGUGAUUUUACAAAAUUCAUCAGAACAUCAGCGUUUCAGUCAACAUUUGAGAAAAAAACUCUUUGACAAGGAAUUCUGGAGCUUUGUAUUGCGAUGUUGCUCACGUCACUGCCUCAUAAUAAUGAAUUAAAAAUGACAAAUAGUUUCAGCCAUUAAAGCACAGACCCUGUUCCUACUGUGUCUUAAUUUAAUAAGAAUAAAGCCCUCAGUUCGUUUAUGCUGUAACUUAUG
ensembl:lncRNA